GAGACGCACUUUCUCCUCCUGGUUUGCCAGGUCUUACGGCCGAGUGUCCGAGAGGCAGGGAGGCACAGGGCAGGGGAAUGGCUGUGCUCCACGCUGCCGUCAGAAGGGCCCUGUGCAGGAUGGGUUAGCCGCAGGAGAGGCCGGCCCAGCCCAGCCCCACAGCAGGGGGGGGGGGGGGAGGAGAGGACCAAUUCAGGGGACAGGCACAGACAGAUGGGACAGGAUGUGACCUCUGGUUGGAUGCCUUCUUUUGCGUCGUUCCAGUCUCUUCUUAUUCCACCCUCAGGAAAUGAAACUAGAAGUGAUAUAGCCCUGUCCACCGGCCAAGAGCGACAGGGAUUGAACCUUGGCAUAUCAGGAUGACGCUGUAACCAACUGGGCUACCCGGCCAGGGCUUACCUGUUUUUUGGAAAUCGAGUUUCCUAUUAUCUGGCUCACUAACAAAGCAUGGCUUACGCUUUGAAAACCCCAGGUGGGCAAAGCGUUUCCCAGAGAAGAAAGGGACUCAUUUUUCUUGGCACACAGCGUGAGCCCACAGGCAUUUCACAUGUUUUAUCUCACGUCACCCUCACGCUAACCCCGAGGGGGACAGGACCACCCCUUCCCCUUGGCAAGAAGAGGAGUCCCAGAGGCGGAGAAAUGACACCGAUGUCCAAAUGUGCCCUUGUCACCAAGGGCAGAGCCAGGAUCCGGGUCCAGGUGUGUGUGGCUACAAAUCCUAAGCUGCAGUCUCUGCGACCCUUUUCAGGAUGGGCGAAAAAAUGCACACAUGCACACACACACGCACACACACACGCACACACACACACACACACACACACACAACUCCCUCUCGUAGGAUUCUCGAGUCCCUCAUCUGGAAGGGGCUGUAUUCCCUCACCCGUUGAUGAGGAUGAGGACCGGCUGCAAAUUCCAGCUCUCCCUUCGCUUCCUGAUCUCGGACAGCGGCCCUUCGCCAGUGGGCAGGCUCCUCACCCCAGGCUGCUCUUCCCCUCCAGAAUGUCUUCGUUUCCCGGCAACAGGAAUCUUUUCUUUUUUGUUCCUUUUGUUCAUGUUCAUGCCAACAGUCAGACAAAGACAAGAAGAUAAACAAUAAAGG